UCAGUUUCCAUCCCCCCAUCGCACCACUCCUUCCUCGUCCCCAUCUCGUCGCCGCCGCCACGUACGGCGGCUGAUCCCGGCGACAUCCAGCGUAAUCUGCGGCUCCCAGCACACCACCGCGACCCAUCCCCUCCGCUCCAUCCUCCCCUCGGACUAGAUCCGGCACGCACGUCCCCAUCGACCAGAUCGACCGCACCCUCCAUCCCAGCCCCGGCUAUGCUGUAGAUCGAGUACAGCAUCCAUGGCGUCGCGGCUGGCGAGUCCAUCUCCUCCAUGGUGUCCUCCUCCGCGUCCUCUGCUCUAGCAGCCAAAGAGCGGCGGGUCCAUCUCCUCCAUGGUGGCCUCCUCCGUGUCCUCCGCGGCGGCCGCGGCCGCGGACUACACGCGCCGGGGCGAGGCCUUCGGGGCCAACAUGGUCCCUUCUACACGCCUCCCUCUACCACUCGCUCUGGCCCCCUUGAUACAAAUCCUCUCCUUCCUUCUCUCCCUUAUUCUCUCGUUUUUCUCUUGGUAGGAUUCGAUCUGGAGCAGCGACCGCCCUCCACGGACGACGGCAUCACCAUGGAGAUGGAGCCGCUGCAACAUCACCAACUCACCCCAUGCAUGCAGUGCAGGCAGAAGAGGAUGAUGCCCAGCUAUGGAAUUUGAGCGACAGCUGCUCAAGGGUCACUGUAUUUCAGGCGACUCCAGUUCUUCGGCAGUUAAAUGGAAGUGCCCGCCCUACCAACAAGAUGACGACGGCGACGACGACGGUGGCGCCUAUUCAAACUCUCACAACGAAAUCAACUCAUGGAAUAGCCUUUCCGAGGUUCGUGAAGAGAGAUGAUCUGGUUUUGUGAAGGAAGGGCGAGAAAGAUUAUGUGGGGAUCAGAUUGUCCAUGGCGACCUAGGAGGAGCAGCACCAUCUCAGGUUGCUCCGGUCUAGUUGUGUGAAGCAACACGCAAGGUCUGCUACUGCUGUUGUGCUCCCUUGAACGAUCUGGUGAAGGACAAUUUGGUCCAUAGGAGGCGCACGCCUAGGAGAAGAGAGGGCUCAUUCCACUUGUUUGGAAGAGAAGACAAUGAAGCAUGGUGGUUAUCUGGAUAAUCUGCCUUGUGUUUUGGUUGUACUUUGUACCUAGUUAUAUUGUAUUCUGUAGUAGUCAGCACAUUCUGGAGCAGAAUCCAGUGAAGUUGUAAAAUUGUAAGAAA